ACGAACGCUGGCGGCGUGCUUAACACAUGCAAGUCGUACGGUAAGGCCCUUUCGGGGGUACACGAGUGGCGAACGGGUGAGUAACACGUGAGUAACCUGCCCACAACUUUGGGAUAACGCUAGGAAACUGGUGCUAAUACUGGAUAUGUGCUCCUGCUGCAUGGUGGGGGUUGGAAAGCUCCGGCGGUUGUGGAUGGACUCGCGGCCUAUCAGCUUGUUGGUGGGGUAGUGGCCUACCAAGGCGGCGACGGGUAGCCGGCCUGAGAGGGUGACCGGCCACAUUGGGACUGAGAUACGGCCCAGACUCCUACGGGAGGCAGCAGUGGGGAAUAUUGCACAAUGGGCGCAAGCCUGAUGCAGCAACGCCGCGUGCGGGAGGACGGCCUUCGGGUUGUAAACCGCUUUCAGCAGGGACGAAGCUUUUUGUGACGGUACCUGCAGAAGAAGCACCGGCUAACUACGUG
rnacentral:rRNA from 1 species